AGCCCCGAGGUGUUACACGUCAAAAUGCAAGUUUGAAAUAGGACCCAAUUAGGCCCCGGGGCUU
rnacentral:tRNA from 2 species